CUUCUCCUCACUAGGGUCGCGGGCGUGCUGGAGCCUAUCCCAGCUAUCUUCAGGCGAGAGGUGGGGCACACCCUGAACUGGUUGCCAGCCAAUCGCAGGGCACAGAAAUUCAGUGAAAAAACGAAAGUACUGACUAACUGUUUGUCUAAAGACCGGAAUAAAUCCUUGCCUUGGCAUCCUGCAACGCCUGGGCCUCAUUCACGGUGUCGCCUUCGUCACGUCCAGCCUGUGGGCCCCACACUCCCCUGAGUUGAGCAACUCUGACCUUGAUGGCGGUUCUCAACUCGGAGGCGUCAUACACCGGCGCCAGCAUGAGCAGACCGAGCACCACGCUCUGGAAGUUCCCGCUCAGCUCCGAGGACAGCUCGUCA